rnacentral:rRNA from 1 species
UACAGAGGUCCCAAGCGUUGUUCGGAUUCACUGGGCGUAAAGGGUGCGUAGGUGGUCAGGUAAGUCGGAUGUGAAAUCUCCGAGCUCAACUCGGAAACUGCAUUGGAAACUACCUGGCUCGAGGGUUGGAGGGGGGACUGGAAUGCUUGGUGUAGUAGUGAAAUGCGUAGAUAUCAAGCGGAACACCAGUGGCGAAGGCGAGUCCCUGGACAACUCCUGACACUGAUGCACGAAAGCUAGGGGAGCAAACAGG